rnacentral:lncRNA from 1 species
CCUGCCUAACAGGUGUGAGGUGAUAUCUUAUUGUGGUUUUGAUUUGCAUUUCUCUGAUGAGGAAAGAAAGACCUACCCUCAAUGUGGGUAGGCACCAUCCAGUCUCUGCCAGCGUAGCAAGAACAAUGCAGGAAGAAGUAGGUGGGAGUCUUCUGUAUUUCAUCUUUCUCUGGUGCUGAGUGGUUCCUUAUGUUCCUCCUAUCUUUGGACGGAAGACUCCAGCUUCCACGGCCUUUGGAUUCUUAAACUUAAACCAGCGGUGUGCUGGGGGCUCUCAGGACUUCAGCCACAGACUGACGGCUGUUAACUUUGCUGCUUUUGAGGCGUUUGGACAGACUGAGCGAUGUGGAAUAUAUAAGCCUUCAUGCAGUGUUGGGGAUGGAGAUCUAAUUAACUAUUCUGCAGAGCAAGCUUUUGGAAUGUAGUCAAAUAAAAUAUACAUGUACCAUUUAACUCAGAAAUUCUGAUCCUGAGUACAGACUCAAGCAAAUUCUCAAACACAUUACUGAGAAGAUAUGUGACAGAAUGUUCACAGCAGCAUCAUAUUUGACAUCAGGGAUAUGGAGGCAACCAAUCUUCUUUCCAUCACCAGAGGGUUAUGUAAGAAAUGGGUCUUGGUCGUGGUGGUAGAAUAAUGAAGCUGUUGGAAUCAAUGGACUAAAUGUAAUUAUGAAAAUUAUAAAAUCAUGAAAACAUAGAUGGACCAUUUAAAAAAUGUAACAUUUGAAUAAUAAAAUAAUAAUUAGUAUGAAAUGUACAACAUGGCUUAAUUUCAGUAAAGUAAAAACAUGUACAUACAAAGCAAACAUACCAAACGUAUAAGAAUGUGAAUAAAAAGUCUUUUAUUUUAAAUAUAUUAACGUGGUUGACUCUAAGUAGAAUCUUUCACAUGUAUAUACUAUGUACUAUAUACAGGUAUGUAUGUAUUUACAUACAUGUACACAUGCAUAUAACUUUUUCAACAUCAGAAGGUAGAAUAAGGCCAAAGGAUAAAAGCUCUAUACUUGAGAACCCAAUGGAAUGAAUAACAUGAUAAGCUCAAUGAGGCGAUUAUUAAUAGUAAUACUUAAACCAAAGAAAGUACCCAAUAUAAUUUUGUAACCUGUGAUACUUACUCUGUUUCAGCUUGGUUUCCUACACUUUCUAAUCCAAAUCCCUCAUCAUUGUAAGAAAAUUA